GAGGGGGAAACGUGGGGGAGUGCUCUGCCCCGAGAGCGGGGGUUUUCUGCCCCGGGGCCACCUGCCGCGCAUGUCUAAUUAUUAUAAAGCAGCCAGCUUCCCUGUAGCUGGCCAAUAGUUAGGAGCAUCAAUGCAAAUGGCUGUUCUUCAGAAAUAUCACCUGAUUAUUUUUCUGCUUUUGAAGUGAUGCCUCAUGGAAUUGCUCUUGCUGGAUCACCUAGAGCCCCUGGCUGUAUUUCACUGCCUCUACCAAUGUCUGUGGUUGAGAUUAAGGUUAACUCAUGCUCUCUGCAGCAGUCAGUGUCGCAAUCUGUUAAUUUUAUUAUUCCAUAUGCUUUCUUGUCUGUUCAUUAAUGAGUCAAAGUGACCCAAAUUCACAUCUUUGAGCUUUGCCCAUCACCUAUAUUUGCCCUUUAUUGCAAAUAACAAAAAUCUCUCAAAAGCAAUAUUUUAAUAAAGAUAUAGUAAAUCUCAA